rnacentral:rRNA from 1 species
GACGAACCGUACGAACGUUAUUCGGAAUCACUGGGCUUAAAGGGUGCGUAGGCGGCGCUGAAAGUUGGGUGUGAAAUCCCUCGGCUCAACCGAGGAACUGCAUUCAAAACUACAGUGCUUGAGGGAGACAGAGGUGAGCGGAACUUAGGGUGGAGCGGUGAAAUGCGUUGAUAUCCUAAGGAACACCCGUGGCGAAAGCGGCUCACUGGGUCUCGUCUGACGCUGAGGCACGAAAGCUAGGGGAGCGAACGGG